rnacentral:sRNA from 1 species
AGAACAACUAAACGAUGUGGUUCAUUC